AUGUAAAAUGACUCUCGGCAACGGAUAUCUCGGCUCUUGCAUCGAUGAAGAACGUAGCGAAAUGCGAUACUUGGUGUGAAUUGCAGAAUCCCGUGAACCAUCGAGUCUUUGAACGCAAGUUGCGCCCAAAGCCAUUAGGCUGAAGGCACGCCUGCCUGGGUGUCACAC
rnacentral:rRNA from 1 species